GUGUCAGCCGCCGCGGUAAUACGGGGGGGGCAAGCGUUAUUCAGUAUAACUAGGCGUAAAGGGUCUGUAGGCGGCAAAUUUUGUUAUUAACUAAAAAUUAAAGCAUAACUUUAUAAAAUUAAUAAUACAGAUUUAGCUAGAGUAAUAUAGAGGAUAGUAGAAUUUCUGUAGUAGGGAUGAAAUCCAUAGACAACAGAAGGAAUGUCAGAGGCGAAGGCGACUAUCUGGAUAUUACUGACGUUGAGGGACGAAGGCAUGGGUAUCAAAUGGGAUUAGAAACCCCCGUAGUCC
rnacentral:rRNA from 1 species